GGCUAAUAUUGUUCUAAUACUAAUAUUAGAACAAUAUAGAGAGGAUUAACAUGGCCCCUGAGCAAGGAUGACAUGCAAAUUCAUGAAACGUUCCUUUUUUUU